rnacentral:rRNA from 1 species
UAAGCGGAGGAAAAGAAACCAACAGGGAUUGCCUCAGUAACGGCGAGUGAAGCGGCAACAGCUCAAAUUUGAAAUCUGGCCCCAGGCCCGAGUUGUAAUUUGCAGAGGAUGCUUUUGGCGAGGUGCCUUCCGAGUUCCCUGGAACGGGACGCCAUAGAGGGUGAGAGCCCCGUCUGGUCGGACACCGAGCCUCUGUAAAGCUCCUUCGACGAGUCGAGUAGUUUGGGAAUGCUGCUCAAAAUGGGAGGUAUAUGUCUUCUAAAGCUAAAUACCGGCCAGAGACCGAUAGCGCACAAGUAGAGUGAUCGAAAGAUGAAAAGCACUUUGAAAAGAGAGUUAAAUAGCACGUGAAAUUGUUGAAAGGGAAGCGUUUAUGACCAGACUUGGCCCGGUUGAUCAUCCAGCGCUCGCGCUGGUGCACUCUGCCGGUCCAGGCCAGCAUCAGUUCGCCGCGGGGGAUAAAGGUUUCGGGAAUGUAGCUCCUCCGGGAGUGUUAUAGCCCGUUGCGUAAUACCCUGUGGUGGACUGAGGUCCGCGCUCUGCAAGGAUGCUGGCGUAAUGGUCAUCAACGACCCGUCUUGAAACACGGACCAAGGAGUCGUCUUCGUAUGCGAGUGUUCGGGUGUCAAACCCCUACGCGUAAUGAAAGUGAACGCAGGUGAGAGCUUCGGCGCAUCAUCGACCGAUCCUGAUGUUCUCGGAUGGAUUUGAGUAAGAGCAUACGGGGCCGGACCCGAAAGAAGGUGAACUAUGCCUGUAUAGGGUGAAGCCAGAGGAAACUCUGGUGGAGGCUCGCAGCGGUUCUGACGUGCAAAUCGAUCGUCAAAUAUGGGCAUGGGGGCGAAAGACUAAUCGAACCUUCUAGUAGCUGGUUUCCGC